GUUUGAAUCACAAUUCCAUUAAAACAAGGAUUGAAAC
rfam:Planctomycetes bacterium RIFCSPLOWO2_12_38_17 rifcsplowo2_12_sub10_scaffold_2830, whole genome shotgun sequence.